UUUACAUUUAAGUCAUUUAGCAGACGCUCUUAUCCAGAGCGACUUACAAAUCGGUGAAUUCACCUUCUGACAUCCAGUGGAACAGCCACUUUACAAUAGUGCAUCUAAAUCAUUAAGGGGGAGGGGGGGGGGGUGAGAAGGAUUACUUAUCCUAUCCUAGGUAUUCCUUGAAGAGGUGGGGUUUCAGGUGUCUCCGGAAGGUGGUGAUUGACUCCGCUGUCCUGGCGUCGUGAGGGAGUUUGUUCCACCAUUGGGGGGCCAGAGCAGCGAACAGUUUUGACUGGGCUGAGCGGGAAAUCAGUGCAGAUAGAACAGGCAAGCUAGUUGUUUACAUGCGUGAUGGACAGCGUGAUGGACAGUCAAGUGUUGCUUAUGGUGAAGAUGCAACCAACAUUUUGCAGGUGGGGGAGGGUUGAGGAGGAGGCUUGAAGCCAUCUUAUGACAUGCAUUAUCUGAAUUAGGCCGACAAUUAUACGUAAAGAGGAGCGGCUUCAAUGGAGGAACUUGAAAUGUACUUUGAUCGAGCUCGCUAACUGCUUGUGUGUGCAGAGCGACACCAGAAUUAAAAACGUCUUACCUUUUUGACAGCACUGAUGCAAUUGUGAAGACAGCUGGAGAGGGCCUUACCAACCAGUUCCCGCUCCUGGGCUUUCGUGAGAGCUGGUGCCCCCAACUCAUCACCUGGGCCCCAUGCUGUCGACCCCCCCAGAUCCUGCCUGGC